rnacentral:misc_RNA from 1 species
UUUUGAUAAUUUAAUCUAUCAACUCUAUUACACAAUGCUUUCACUCCGUCUCCCAAGUUGUUCACUUUCAACCUGCUACACUGCAUUCAUAAGUUUCUAUUAAAUGCAACCAAACCAACUUAAACCAUCCUGCUUCAACUUAAUUUCCAUGGAAGAACUUUGACUUCUUAUGCACUCGCUUCUUAUUCAAUCUUGACUCAUAUUUCUACACAUACUUAUUAACAUUCCCAAAUCCAUCACAUUCAUUUUACAGACAUGCCACAUUACUGUUGCCUAGUGUUUCUUAUCGUAAAUCAUACCGACCUAAUCACAGUUUUAAAGAAUAAAACCCUGUAGCCUAACAGGAACAUCACAAUCACAUGGCAUUCCAUAAGCUCACUUCCAUGCUUUGUUUCCGUUGGGCAUAUCCUUCUAAUUUCUGUCUUCCCAUGAACCCAAAAACUGAAAAUAAUCACACUGAAUCACACCUAUAUUUGUCCAAUGAAUCUAGGACCUCCUUUGACCCUACUGUUUUUAAAUUAGCAAGGGAUAUAUUCAGUUUUUGUUCUGUAUCCUUAGCUCAGGUUUCCUCAACUCUGAUUUCACUUAUCAGAAUUAUGUUAUCAACAACUACGGUCUACCAUUGCCUUGCCUUUGUUCAAAUCUCGCAACUUCCUUAGUUUAUUUUCAAAUCAAAUAAAUCCUUAGUUUGUCAUUUCAUCUGUAAGGACCUGUCCUCGUGAACUAAUUUGUUCCUCCAUCAAGCAGCAAUCCAACUCUAAAUACGGCUCACAUCAGCCAGGAAGCCUCUAAAUUCCCUUUUUCUUGCUUUAUUCAUCCAUAAAUCAAGCCCCGAUAGUAACCACCCAAAACCUUAUCUCCCAAGCCCUUUUCACCAUCAAUUAAUCCACCAAAACAUAUCCUUCAUCCAAUGAUUAACUCCUGUUCCUGAAAACCGGUGACCUAUAUAUUGACUUUCUGCCACAAAUAUGGCCCUAAAAAAUAAAACUUAGUUUCGUCCACAAAUCAUAAGCAUCUUUAGCAUUUUUCAAUAGCCCUAAAUUUCCAAUUUUACAAAGACCCAACCUGCCAUAAAACAGAUGUAGAUUAGUCCAAGCAUGUUCUGUUACUUUUUCCUUUCUCAUUGGAUCCAAAGAAAGAAAAGCAAAG